rnacentral:rRNA from 1 species
GUAGGGUGCGAGCGUUAAUCGGAAUUACUGGGCGUAAAGAGUGCGUAGGCGGUCCCGCAAGUCCGCUGUGAAAGCCCCGGGCUUAACCUGGGAAUGGCAGUGGAAACUAUGGGACUUGAAUCUGGCAGAGGGGGGUGGAAUGCCACGUGUAGCAGUGAAAUGCGUAGAGAUGUGGCGGAACACCGAUGGCGAAGGCAGCCCCCUGGGCUGAGAUUGACGCUCAGGCACGAAAGCGUGGGGAGCAAACAGGAUUAGAUACCCUGGUAGUCCACGCUGUAAACGAUGGGCACUAGGUGUCSGAGGUAUUGACCCCUUGGGUGCCGCAUCUAACGCAUUAAGUGCCCCGCCUGGGGAGUACGGUCGCAAGAUUA